GCUUGAAGGUAUUCCUGGCUCAUUGGAUGAUGUCACUGACCAAUAGAUGACUUAAGAGAAUCAAGCUUUUUCAGAGUCACUUUGCUGCUCACCUAAAUCCUUGGUCUGGAUGUUUUGCACCUGUUCUCAUCCUGCUAUGGGCAUCCAGAUCCUCUGCUAUGUGGUCUUUUGUGCUCUGGUAGCAAAUCACACAGAUGCUGGAGUCAUCCAGUCACCCAGGCAUGAGGUGGCAGAGAAAGGACAAACAGUAACUUUGAGGUGUGAGCCAGUUCCAGGUCACAAUGAUCUUUUCUGGUACAAACAGACCAAGAUACAAGGACUACAAUUGCUGAGCUACUUUCGCAGCAAGUCUCUUAUGGAGGAUGACAAGACACUCAAGGAUCGAUUCAAAGCUGAGAUGUUAGAUUCAUCUGUCUCCACUCUGAAGAUCCAGCCCACAGAACCCCAGGAUUCAGCUGUGUAUCUCUGUUCCAGCAGCUUAGCCACAGAGCUACACAAGGAUGUUCUGCCAGUACAGAAACCCUUGUGUGCCCCUCUCCCUUCAACCCCUACAUGUUCUAAGUGA